rnacentral:lncRNA from 1 species
UCCACAUAUCUAUCUUUAGUAUAUAUAUAUCAUUUGUUGGUGAUUUAUUCAUCACCUAUAGUCCACUGAAAAAGCCAAAAAAAAAUCCUAUAGACCUUUGUCUAUACUGUUAUCUUGUAUUUUUUAUGUUCAUCAAGGUGCUAGUCACCAUCUUUACAUAUUUUGUAUCGUGUUUCAUUUGUAUCCGCAACCAUGUUAGUAUAAAAAAGCAUUAAAAAUCAGAGAAAAAAAUGUUCAGAGAAAAAAAAGAGAGAUAGAAAGAUCCAAAAGAAAAGUAAAAGAAGAGAAAAGGGGUUACAUUGCGGUUUGCUCACUGAAAAUUCAGUUUACACAUUCAGAUUCUUGGUGAUUUAUAUAACAGCAACAUUAUAUCUUUUGAGCACAUCAAACCACUUGAUUAUGCGUACCGUAGCCUCCCUUGUUUAGCCACCUAUAGCUCCACCAAAAAAACAAAAACCAGGACAUUCAACUCGUAAUCCUUGCAACCUCAGAAUCACUUCUAUUGAGCUGCUACACUAGCACAUUUCACUAUCCUUGAGAACAGGAAGGAGAAUUGGUAAGUAAGAGGUGAGGUUGUGUGAUUCCACAAAUUUACCCAUUCCACUAUAUUUUUCUUUAGUCCUAAGAUGACAGGAUCUAGUUUAAGUAUUCGUGGUAAUCGUCAUGGAGAAGAAGAACUCCCUGUUGCACGGGCUGAGUUGCGCUAAAUGGCAGACUCACUCUUGCAGGCCG